rnacentral:rRNA from 1 species
GACGCUGAGGCUCGAAAGCGUGGGGGAGCAAACAGGAUUAGAUACCCUGGUAGUCCACGCCGUGAACGAUGAAUACUAGGUGUUGGGGCCCACAGGGCUUCGGUGCCGCAGCUAACGCAAUAAGUAUUCCACCUGGGGAGUACGUUCGCAAGAAUGAAACUCAAAGGAAUUGACGGGGACCCGCACAAGCGGUGGAGCAUGUGGUUUAAUUAGAAGCAACGCGAAGAACCUUACCGAGUCUUGACAUCCCGAUGACCAACUAUGUAAUGUAGUCUCUCUUCGGAGCAUCGGUGACAGGUGGUGCAUGGUUGUCGUCAGCUCGUGUCGUGAGAUGUUGGGUUAAGUCCCGCAACGAGCGCAACCCUUGUCCUUAGUAGCCAGCAGUAAGAUGGGCACUCUAGGGAGACUGCCAGGGUGAACCUGGAGGAAGGUGGGGAUGACGUCAAAUCAUCAUGCCCCUUAUGACUUGGGCUACACACGUGCUACAAUGGCGUAAACAAAGAGAAGCGAAGUCGUGAGUCUAAGCAAAUCUCAAAAAUAACGUCUCAGUUCGGAUUGUAGUCUGCAACUCGACUACAUGAAGCUGGAAUCGCUAGUAAU